rnacentral:rRNA from 1 species
AACGAACGCUGGCGGCAUGCCUAACACAUGCAAGUCGAACGAGACCUUCGGGUCUGGUGGCGCACGGGUGCGUAACGCGUGGGAACCUGCCCUUAGGUUCGGGAUAACUCCCCGAAAGGGGUGCUAAUACCGGGUAAUGCCUGCUGACAAAAGAUUUAUCGCCUUGGGAUGGGCCCGCGUUGGUUUGGCUAGUUGGUAGGGUAAAAGCCUACCAAGGAGACGCUCCAUAGCUGGUCUGAGAGGAUGAGCAGCCACACUGGGACUGAGACACGGCCCAGAAUCCUACGGGAGGCAGCAGUGGGGAAUAUUGGAAAACGGGCGAAAGCCUGAUCCAGCAAUGCCGCGUGAGUGAUGAAGGCCUUAGGGUUGUACAGCUCUUUUACCCGGGAUGAUAAUGACAGUACCGGGAGAAUAAGCUCCGGCUAACUCCGUG